UUCAUCAGCUGCACACUCAGCAGAUGUUCAGUGUGCUGUAGGAACUAUCCAAACAAAGGUUCAUUUGAGCAAGAAAAAUGAACCAGAUCUUUAUCUUGUCUUUCCUUGCAGGUGUCAGUUUGGGGCUUGAGGUCCAUCAGUCCCACUCUGACCUCUUCAAAAGAACUGGUGACAAAGUUCACAUUUUCUGCACCCACAAAAAAACCGACUACAGGGUGAUGCUCUGGUACCGACGGUCACCUGGAGACACGGCCAUGAAGCUCAUCGGAUAUUUGCACUACGACAAGCCAUCUAUGGAAGACAAAGAUGAAAAGGACUUUGGGAUCUCUGGAGAUCUGGGAGGGGAUACGGCGAAGAACGGAUCCCUGACGAUCCAAACCGUGAAACAGAAUCACACCGCCAUCUACUACUGCGCUGCAAGAGAAGCACAUUGACAGAAAUCCUCUCUGCACCUCAACAAUAACUGUGCUGUG